GGCAAUUUGUCCGAGUGGUUAAGGAGUUUGACUUGAAUUGAACUAUUCUAGUUAUCAAAUGCGGUUUCCGCGCGUAGGUUCGAGUCCUGCAAUUGUCG
rnacentral:tRNA from 2 species